CCACACUCCUUUGUGCUCACGUUGGCAACACAUAUACAUGGAAGAUUUGCAUGGCCCCUGUGCAAGGAUGACACCCAAAUUCAUGAGACAUUCCAUAUUUUU
ensembl:snRNA U6 U6 spliceosomal RNA